rnacentral:rRNA from 1 species
GGGUCUUUUAGCGUUAUGUGCAGAAACCCGGAGGGUAUGUUUUUGGGUGCAUCAUGCAUGAAGUACACUGGGUUGACCGAUCCAGCUACUCUGGAGGCGUUGGCAUGCCGUGAGGCACUAGCACUCAUGACAGAUCUCCAGUUGUCUAGAGUGGUGAUUGCAUCUGAUUGCCAAGGCGUAGUUUGAGAUAUUCAUGGUCGAACAGGAGGAAUGUAUGCACCCAUAGUUAAGGAGAUCAAUGAGACAACUACCUACUUUCAGGAGUGCUCCUUCAUCUUUGAAGGACGAGAGACUAAUGUCGAGGCACAUAGCCUCGCUAAACAUGCUUUUGGUCUAGGGUCCGGGCGCCAUCUGUGGCUUAUAGACCCGCCAGACAUUGAUUGUAUCCCUAUGAACUUUGAUUGA